AGUAUAGUGGUAAGUAUUCCC
rnacentral:siRNA from 1 species